GUGAACCUAGCAAUCCAGAGAGGUUGAAAGGUUUUGGUUAUGCUGAGUUUGAGGACCUGGAUUCCCUGCUCAGUGCCCUCAGUCUCAAUGAAGAGUCGCUAGGUAACAGGAGAAUUCGAGUGGAUGUUGCUGAUCAAGCACAGGAUAAAGACAGAGAUGAUCGUUCUUUUGGGCGAGAUAGAAAUCGAGAUUCUGACAAAA